CCUACGGGAGGCAGCAGUGGGGAAUAUUGCACAAUGGGGGAAACCCUGAUGCAGCGACGCCGCGUGAGUGAAGAAGUAUUUCGGUAUGUAAAGCUCUAUCAGCAGGGAAGACAAUGACGGUACCUGAUUAAGAAGCCCCGGCUAACUACGUGCCAGCAGCCGCGGUACUACGUAGGGGGCAAGCGUUAUCCGGCUUUAUUGGGUUUAAAGGGUGCGUAGGCGGAAUGCCAAGUCAGCGGUAAAAUCACGGGGCUCAACCUCGCUCCGCCGUUGAACCUGGCGUUCUUGAGUGGGCGAGACGUAUGCGGAAUGCGUGGUGUAGCGGUGAAAUGCAUAGAUAGCACGCAGAACUCCGAUUGCGAAGGCAGCAUACCGGCGCCCAACUGACGCUGAAGCACGAAAGCGUGGGUAUCGAACAGGAUUAGAUACCCCUGUAGUC
rnacentral:rRNA from 1 species